CGGAGUGGCGAACGGGUGAGUAAUAUAUCGGAACGUACCGAGUAAUGGGGGAUAACUAAUCGAAAGAUUAGCUAAUACCGCAUAUUCUCUGAGGAGGAAAGCAGGGGACCUUCGGGCCUUGCGUUAUUCGAGCGGCCGAUAUCUGAUUAGCUAGUUGGUGGGGUAAAGGCCUACCAAGGCGACGAUCAGUAGCGGGUCUGAGAGGAUGAUCCGCCACACUGGGACUGAGACACGGCCCAG
rnacentral:rRNA from 1 species